UGGGGAAUAUUGCGCAAUGGGGGGAACCCUGACGCAGCCAUGCCGCGUGAAUGAAGAAGGCCUUCGGGUUGUAAAGUUCUUUCGGUAUUGAGGAAGGUUGAUGUGUUAAUAGCACAUCAAAUUGACGUUAAAUACAGAAGAAGCACCGGCUAACUCCGUGCCAGCAGCCGCGGUAAUACGGAGGGUGCGAGCGUUAAUCGGAAUAACUGGGCGUAAAGGGCACGCAGGCGGUUAUUUAAGUGAGGUGUGAAAGCCCCGGGCUUAACCUGGGAAUUGCAUUUCAGACUGGGUAACUAGAGUACUUUAGGGAGGGGUAGAAUUCCACGUGUAGCGGUGAAAUGCGUAGAGAUGUGGAGGAAUACCGAAGGCGAAGGCAGCCCCUUGGGAAUGUACUGACGCUCAUGUGCGAAAGCGUGGGGAGCAAACAGGAUUAGAUACCCUGGUAGUCCACGCUGUAAACGCUGUCGAUUUGGGGGUUGGGGUUUAUNUNNNACGCCCGUAGCUAACGUGAUAAAUCGNCCGCCUGNNCUANNNNUNCCGCAAGGUUA
rnacentral:rRNA from 1 species